UACGAAGGUGGCGAAUGUUGCUCGGAUUCACUGGGCGUAAAGCGUCUGUAGGAGGCUUGUUAAGUCAGGUGUGAAAGCCCCGCGCUCAACGUGGGAAUUGCACUUGAAACUAGCUGGCUAGAAGAUAUGAGAGGAUGGCGGAAUUACUGGUGUAGAGGUAAAAUUCAUAGAUAUCAGUAGGAACACCCAUGGCGAAGGCAGCUAUCUGGCAUAUUCUUGACUCUGAGAGACGACAGCGUGGGGAGCAAACAGG
rnacentral:rRNA from 1 species